rnacentral:lncRNA from 1 species
CUAUUUUACAAAUUGCUUAAAUAUCUACUGAGAAAAAGAAGCCUUAGUAGUUUCACUUAUGUAUCAAAACACUGAACUUUUUUCUUUCCAAAUUUAUUCAGCUGCCCUAGAAUCUGGUUUGGGACUUCCCUAUUUAUUCCCAACACCUCCUAAUGGGGGCAGAGCUAAUCACUUACACGGUUCUGUGCUGCUAAGCAUGGCCAACUUAUGACCACUUAGGAUUCAAGCACAUGUUGAUACCUUAAGACCAGUAAGCAUUUGAUAAAGUAGGGAAGCAGGGUGGUUAGAUUUGUUGUAAUCAACAGUAAGAGGAGGAAAUUAAUUCAUGGAUCUGUGCCCAAAACUCAGUUUCUUUUUGUACAAAUUUUUUUUAAAAC